ensembl:lncRNA
CGCUGAUUUGAGAGCUGCUGACACUGAGACGGUCCGUUUGCAGAGAGCACACGUCGCUCUCUCUGCUCGACAGAUGCAAAGCCUGGGAGAUUAGAUUUCACACAGUUGUCCAGUCGCCUCGCUGUCUCAUUAAACCCACGUCUGUGUUUAAGCUGUAGCUGCAGGCCGCAGCACCAUGUCUCGCUCCAGCGUGGAAGUAUUACAAGGCAGAUUGAGGUUGACCACCUCGCCUUCUCCGAUGGUACAGACAGUGUGAGA